ACCUGUUCUAUAAUCGAUAGUCCACGAUGUACCUGGCUUAAAUUAGUAUUACAGUAUGUAUACCGCCGUCAUUAGAAAAUCUUGAAAAAGAAUUAAUUUUCUUAAUUUAUUAUUAUAAAAAAUGUCAGGUCAAGGUGCAGCUUAUAUUUAAGAAGAAAUGGGUUACAAUAAAUAAAUUUAUAUAGUUAUUUAAUUGAAAUAAUUAAAUUUAAAGUGGAUUUGAUAGUAAAAUUAUAAAGAUAAAUAAUUUGAUUAAAGCUCUAAAAUAUGCACAUAUCGCCCGUCGCUCUUGUUAAUAAAAUAAGA
rnacentral:rRNA from 1 species